CUGUUGUCAUGGAAACGCACAUUGUUUUAAUUAUUUUGCCAUUAUAUGACAUAAUACCAUGUAUUUUGUAGUAUUGUUGACAAAGCAGCAUUAUCAACUAAACUCGGCUCAGAUUCAUUUUUUCGUUAGCAAUGGUUUAUCGUUGCUUACAGAUAUGCAUUGAAUUCCUGUCUGUAGCCUACCUUUUUAACUUCCUACCUACAACAGUGACUGCAUCCAUCUGCUAAGUAUGUCCGUUC